CUUUGGCUCCUGGGGAUCCACCUGCAGCCCACAGGGGCCUGGAAGUGCCGGGGGACCAUGGUCCUGAACACCCAGAGACUUGGCAGAACAUCAGCUGAUGCUGCUCCCUUUAAAACACUUUUGACUGCUCUCUGGUUUGGCUACUGUUCGUUAGUUGAUGCUGAAACUGUUCUUACUGAAGUUUGAUUGAUAGCCUUAGACGGGCGUUUCAGGAAGAGAUUAGCAUUUGAAUCAGGAGACUGAGUGAGGAAGAUUUGCCUUCCCCAGUGUAGAUGGCCAUCAUCCAACCACUUUAGGGCCCUGAUACAACAAAAAGGCCGAGGAAGGGCAAAUUUGCUCUCUCUUCUGCAGCUGGAACAUCCAUCUUUUUCCCCCAUCUUCAGACAUCAGAACUCUAGAUUUUCUGGCCUUCAGACUCCAGACUUGCUCCAGCACCCUCUGAGCCCCAUUCUCCUCUCAUUCCCAGGCCUUCUGCUUCAAAUUGAGGCUGACAACAUUGACUCUCCUGGUUCUCAGACCUCUGGAUAUGAGACCUCUGG
ensembl:lncRNA LINC01517 long intergenic non-protein coding RNA 1517